GAAAUGCCUCUAUGAGAUCCAGCUAUAAGGCAUUUUCUCAAUUAGUGUUCAAUGUGGGAGGACCAGCCCAUUGUGGGUGCUGCCAUCUCUGGGCUGGUGGUCCUG
rnacentral:miRNA from 1 species